GCACGACUGUCGAACUCGCAGCAAAAAUCCUAAGUGUGGGUCGGUCAGCGGUCGGCCAAAGGAGACGUGGCGGCUGCCUCAAAAUCGAUCGACGAUCUGACGCGGCGACCGGGCUUCACAAGAUGUAUGCAUCGACGGCUUCACGGAGGUGAAGACAGACGCGGUCGAGAGUCGCGCGGCAGUGCAGAAAACAGAGGAGAACGAAAUGGGCGGCGGCUGGAAACAGAGGUUGCGCGGCAGGGCUUCACGAACCGGCCGACGGUUGCAGCGACGGAUCUGGGUUACUGCGAACUGCAAGGGUGAAGCACGAGCGGCAGCGAGGACCUGGACGGCUCGGCGAUGCAGAUCUGGACGACGGUUGUGAGCGGGGAGGCACGACAGUUACAGGUGGAUGGGCGCGGCGGUUUCGAUCCGAAGGAGAAAAGAGAGGGUGGCGGUUGGGUUCGGCUUCGGUGAAUGGAGACGGAAACAGACGAACGGAGAGUCACGCGGGACGACUGCUGCAAGGUUGCUUCGCGAACGGAGAUGGAGAACGGAAGGGAGGGUCGCGGCGCUGGGCGGAAGAAGAAAAGGGAAAAAAGAAAUUUUCAUUUUCUUUUCUUUUUAUUUAAAAAAAUAUAUAAAAUAAAUAUAAUAAAAAAUAUAUAUAAUAUAUAUAUAUAUUUAAAAUUUUCAUUUUCUUUUCUUUAUUUAAUAAAAUGUAAAAUAAAUAUAAUAAUAAAAAUAUAAUUAAAUACAUAUACAUAUUUAAUUAUAUUAAUACAUUUUCAAAUCUUCUUUCUCCCCUUCAACAUAUUUAAAAAAAAAAUCUUGAACAAAUCGAAAUAAUUCUCUCAAAAUAAUUUACCUUCAAGUUUGGGGCGUUACAUGAAUAUUUCUCCCUCAGGCUUAUCUCUCUCUUCUUCUCAAUUUAUUUUCAAUUUUUCUGUGUGCUUCUCACAGUGUAUGCAUAAUCUCUCUUUCAUUUUGAUCUUCAUCUCCAUUUCAAAUAUCUCCCACACAAAGAACAAAGAAAUGAGUAAAGUAACUGAGAGAGCAUUUUGUUUUUCCCUUCAUAUGGUUGGUUACUUUUUGUCAAUUAAAUGAAAAGUGAAGAAUAAGAUAAGAUUUUCUUUACCCAUUUGCCAUCAUCAUCAAAGCUAUUUACCUCAUUUUUGUUCACACACACACAACUUCAUUUUGUUGGAUUACACUCAUUUGAGAAAAUAGCAAAAUUUUAUUAGAAGAAUAGCAAACAUGAGCAUUUCACGUGUUUUGAAUUUUCAUUAACCCUAAAAUCUCCUCGCCUGCUUUUUAGUUAAACUGUAACUAAUUUUGAAAUAUGCAAAAUUUUAGCAUAAAUAUUGAUUUUCUCCUACAUUAUCUUAACACACUUUUUUUUCCUCCAAAUAUUGGAUUUGUAUCAAAUCUUUAUUUUCAAAUUUUACUUUAUCCAAAUUUUCAUUUUUCAAAAUUUCAUCGUUAUUCUACUUUUAUUUUUGUAUUUCAUAUAUAUAUAUAUAUAUAUAUAUAUAUAUUUAUAAUAUUUAAUCUUUUUUUUCUCUUUUCCUAUUCAUCUUCUUCCUUUCUCUUCCUCUUCAACCUACGGCCACACCACCGUCUCUUUUCUUCCUUCUCUUUUCAUUCUCCAAUCAACUUCAUCACCGUCUUCCACCUACACCGAACGUCAAGCAAAUUUUGUCCUAUCGUCGCAUCACCGUUAGACCGAGUCACUCCGGUUCCGUCACGCCAUGUAUGUUUAGAUUUGAAUUGUUCGGUUAUUUGUUGCACCGAUCCGUCUCCGUUAGAAUUUGAUUCUCCACAAUUUGGGUAAGUUAUGGAAUUUACAUAUAGAGUGAAUUGAAUGGAUUAAAUUGUUUGUAGAAGUGAUUGAUUUCUCUUCAAUUAUGUUUAGGUCGGUUCGUUGCACUUUAGUUUGAAAAAUAAGCUUAAGUAAGGUUAUAAGGUAAGGGAUUCUCUACUAUUGGACUCACCUAUAGUUCUGAAUUGUGCUGUCUGUAUAGUUACCUCCGAUUGAGUAAAGAUGUCGAAACGAUUGGGACGGAACCAAGAAACCGAGUCAAGGGCAUCACCGUUCGGCUUUUGUGGGCAAGACUCUUCGAGAUCACUCAAAUCGGACCGUCCAGUGGUUAGAUGUGAACUUUCGAGGCCUCCGACCCCGUUCUGAGUCCGGUCGUUCCUUUCUAGGUCAUUGUGCCUUUCUUCGACGUUUUGGGACGGAACCAAGAAACCGAGUCUGGGCAUCACCGUUCGGCUUUUGUCGGCAAGAAACUUUGAGAUCACUCAGCAUCAGACCGCCCAGUGGUUAGAUGUGAAGUUUCGAGGCCUCCAACCCCGUUUUGAGUCCGGUCGUUCCUUUCUAGGCCAUUGUGCCUUUCUUCGACGUUUUGGGACGGAACCAAGAAACUGAGUCUAGGGCAUCAUCGUUCAGCUUUUGUGGGCAAGAAACUUCGAGAUCACUCAGAAUCAGACCGUCCAGUGGCUAGAUGUGAACUUUUGAGGACUCCGACCCCUGUCUGAGUCCGGUCGUUCCUUUCUAGGCCAUUGUGCCUUUCGUCGGCGUUUUGGGACGGAACCAAGAAACCGAGUCUGGGCCAUCACCUUUCCCCUUUUGUGGGCAAGAAACUUCAAGAUCACUCAGAAUACGACCGCCAGUGGUUAGAUGUGAACUUUCGAGGCCUCCGACCCCGUUCUGAGUCUGGUCGUUCCUUCCUAGGCCAUUAUGCCUUUUCUCCGGCGUUUUGGGACGGAACCAAGAAACUGAGUCUAGGGCAUCACCGUUCGCCUUUUGUGGGUAAGAAACUUCGAGAUCACUAAGAAUCAGACCGCCCAGUGGCUAGAUGUGAACUUUCGAGGUUUCCGACCCCUGUCUGAGUCCGGUCGUUCCUUUCUAAGCCAUUGUGCCUUUCUUUGGCGUUUUGGGACGGAACCAAGAAACGGAGUCUGGGCAUCACCGUUCGGUUGUUGUGGGCAAGAAACUUUGAGAUCACUCAGAAACGGACCGCCCGCUGGUUAGAUGUGAACUUUCGAGGCCUCGGACCCCGUUUUGAGUUCGGUCGUUCCUUUCUAGGCCAUUGUGCCUUUCUUCGGCGUUUGUAGACGGAACCAAGAAACGAGUAUGGGCCAUCACCGUUCAGCUUUUGUAGGCAAGAAACUUUGAGAUCACUCAGAAUCGGACCGUCCAGUGGUUAGAUGUGAACUUUCGAGGCCUCCGACACCGUUCUGAGUCCGGCCGUUCCUUUCUAGGUCAUUGUGCCUUUCUUCGGCAUUUUGGGACGAAACCAAGAAACCGAGUUCGGGGCAUCACCGUUCGGCUUUUGUGGGCAAGAAUAUUCAAGAUCACUCAAAAUCGGACCGCCCAGUGGUUAGAUAUGAAUUUUCGAGACCACGGACCCCGUUCUGAGUUCGGCCGUUCCUUUCUAGGCCAUUGUCCCUUUCUUCGGCGUUUUGAGACGAAACCAACAAACCGAGUCUAGGGCAUCAUCGUUCGGCUUUUGUGGGCAAGCAACUUCGAGAUCACUCAGAAUCGGACCGCCCAGUGGCUAGAUGUGAACUUUCGAGGACUAUGACCCCUAUCUGCGUCCGGUCGUUCCUUUCUAGGCCACUGUGGCUUUCUUCGACGUUUUCAGACGGAACCAAGAAACCGAGUCUGGGGCAUCACCGUUUGCCUUUUGUGGGCAAGAAACUUGGAGAUCACUCAGAAUCGGACUGCCCAAUGGCUAGAUGUGAACUUUCGAGGACUCCGACCCCUGUCUGAGUCGGUCGUUCCUUUCUAAGCCAUUGUGCCUUUCUUUGGCGUUUUGGGAUGGAACAAGAAACCGAGUCUGAGGCAUCACCGUUUAGCUUUUGUCGACAAGAAACUUCAAGAUCACUCAGAAUCGGACCGCCCAAUGGUUAGAUGUGAACUUUCGAGGCCUCGGACCCCGUUCUGAGUCCAGACGUUCCUUUCUAGGCCAUUGUGCCUUUCGUCGGCGUUUUGUGACGAAACAAAGAAACCGAGUCAGGGGCAUCACCGUUCGGCUUUUGUGGGCAAGAAACUUCGAGAUCACUCAGAAUCGGACCGCUCAGUGGUUAGAUGUGAACUUUCGACGCCUCGGACCCCGUUCUGAGAUGAGUCGUUCCUUUCUAGGCCAUUGUGCCUUUCUUCGGCGUUUGUGGACAAAACCAAAAACCGAGUCUGGGCAUCACCUUUCCCUUUUGUGGGCUUGAAAUUUGAGAUCACUAGAAUCGGACCGCUCAGUGGUUAGAUGUGAACUUUGAGGCCUCCGACCCAUUCUAAGUCUGAUCGUUCCUUUCUAGGCCAUUGUGCCUUUCUUUGGCGUUUUGGGACGGAACCAAGAAACCGAGUCUGGGGCAUCACCGUUCGGCUUUUGUGGCAAGAAACUUCGAGAUCACUCAGAAUCAGACCGCCAGUUGUUAGAUGUGAACUUUCGAGGCCUCCGACCCCGUUCUGAGUCUGGUCGUUCCUUUCUAGGCCAUUGUGACUUUCCUCGCAUUUUGGGACGGAACCAAGAAACCGAGUCUAGGCAUCAUCGUUCACCUUUUGUGGGCAAGAAACUUCGAGAUCACUCAGAAUCGGACCACCCAGUGGCUAGAUGUGAACUUUUAAGGACUCCGACCCCUGUCUGAGUCUGGUCGUUCCUUUUUAAGCCAUUGUGCCUUUCUUUGGCGUUUUGGGACAAAAUCAAGAAACCGAGUCUGAGGCAUCACCGUUUAGCUUUUGUGGGCAAGAAACUUUGAGAUCACUCAGAAUUGGACCACCCAGUGGUUAGAUGUGAACUUUCGAGGUCUCCGACCCCGUUCUGAGUCUGGUCAUUCCUUUCUAGGCCAUUGUGCCUUUCUUCGGCGUUUUGUGACGAAACAAAAAACCGAGUCAGGGGCAUCAUGUUUGGCUUUUGUGGGCAAGAAACUUCGAGAUCACUCAGAAUCAGACCGCUCAGUGGUUAGAUGUGAACUUUCGACGCCUCGACCCCUUCUGAGAUGAGUCAUUCCUUUCUAGGCCAUUGUGCCUUUCUUCGGCGUUUGUGGACAAAACCAAAAACCGAGUCUAGGGCAUCUCCGUUCGGCUUUUGUGGGUAAGAACUUCGAGAUCACUCAGAAUCAGACCACCCAUGGUUAGAUGUGAACUUCUGAGGGCUUCGACCCUGUUCUGAGUCUGCUCGUUCCUUUCUAAGCCACUUGCCUUUCUUCAGCGUUUUGGGACAGAACCAAGAAACCGAGUCUAGGGCAUCACCGUUCGGCUUUUGUGGGAAAGAAAGUUCAGAUCACUCAGAAUCGGACCGCCAGUGGUUAGAUGUGAACUUCUGAGGCCUCCGACCCCGUUCUGAGUCUGGUCGUUCCUUUCUAGGCUGUUGUGCCUUUCUUCGGUGUUUUGGGACGGAACCAAGAAACCGAGUCUACGGCAUAACCGUUCGGCUUUUGUGGGCAAGAAACUUCGAGAUCACUCAGAAUCUGACUGCCCAGUGGUUAGAUGUGAACUUUCGAGGCCUCCGACCCCGUUCUGAGUCUGGUCGUUGCUUUCUAGGCCAUGUGCCUUUCUUGGUCGUUUUGCGACGGAAACAAGAAACCGGGAGUGGGCAUCACCGUUCGGUAUUUGUGGGCAAGAAACUUCGAGAUCACUCAGAAUCAGACCGCCAGUGGUUAGAUGUGAACUUUCGAGGCCUCCGACCCCGUUCUAAGGCUGGUCGUUCCUUUCUAGGCCAUUGUGCCUUUCUUGGUUCUUUUGCGACGAAACAAAAGAAAUCGGUAUGGGCAUCACCGUUCGGCUUUUGUGGGCAAGAAACUUUGAGAUCACUCAGAAUCAGACCGCCCAGUGGUUAGAUGUGAACUUUUGAGGCCUCCGACCCCGUUCUGAGUCCGAUCGUUGCUUUCUAGGCCAUUGUACCUUUCUUGUGAGUUUUGCGACGGAACAAAGAAACCGGGUAUGGGGCAUCACCGUUCAGCUUUUGAGGGCAAGAAACUUCGAGAUCACUCAGAAUCGGACCGCCCAGUGGUUAGAUGUGAACUUUCAAGGCCUCCGACCUCGUUCUGAGUCCGGUCAAUCCUUUUUAGGCCCUUGUGCCUUUCUUCGGCGUUUUGGGACGGAAUCAAGAAACCGAGUCUAGGGCAUCACCGUUCGACUUUUGUGGGAAAGAAAGUUUGAGAACAUUCAGCAUAGGACCGCCACGUGGUUAGAUGUGAACUUUCGAGGCCUUCGACCCCGUUCUGAGUGUCGUCGUUCCUUUCUAGGUCGUUGUGCCUUUCUUCGGCGUUUUGGGACGGAACCAAGAAACCGAGUUGGGGCAUCACCGUUCGGCUUUUGUGGGCAAGAAACUUCGAGAUCACUCAUAAUCGGACCGCCCAGUGGUUAGAUGUGAACUUUCAAGUCCUCCGACCCUGUUCUGAGUCCGGUCGUUCCUUUCUAGGCCAUUGUGCCUUUCUUGGGAGUUUUGCAACAGAACAAAGAAACCAGGUAUGGGGCAUCACCAUUUGGCUUUUGUGGGCAAGAAACUUUGAGAUCACUUAAAAUCGGACCACUCAGUGGUUAGAUGUGAACUUUCGAGGCCUCUAACCCUGUUCUGAGUUCGGUCGUUCCUUUCUAGGAUAUUGGCCUUUCUUGGAGUUUUGCGACGGAAAAAGAAACCGGUAUGGGGCAUCAUCGUUCGGCUUUUGUGGCCAAGAAACUUUGAGAUCACUCAAAAUCAGACCGCCCAGUGGUUAGAUGUGAACUUUUGAGGCUUCCGACCCCGUUCUGAGUCCGAUCGUUCCUUUCUAGGCCCUUGUGCCUUUCUUCGGCGUUUUGGGACGGAACCAAGAAACUGAGUCUGGGAAUCUCCGUUCGACUUUUGUAGGCAAGAAACUUCGAGAUCACUCAGAAUCAGACCGCCCAGUGGUUAGAUGUGGACUUCGGAGGCCUUCGACCCCGUUCUGAGUCUGCGCGUUCUUUUCUAGGCCACUGUGCCUUUCUUCGCGUUUUGGGACCGAACCAAGAAACCGAGUCGGGGGCAUCACCGUUCGGCUUUUGUGGGAAAGAAACUUCGAGAUCACUCAGAAUCAGACUGCCACGUGGUUAGAUGUGAACUUUUGAGGCCUCCGAUCCCGUUCUGAGUCCGGUCGUUCCUUUCUAGGCCGUUGUGCCUUUCUUCCGCGUUUUGGGACGGAACCAAGAAACUGAGUCUGGGGCAUCACCGUUCGGCUUUUGUGGGCAAGAAACUUCGAGAUCACUCAUAAUCGGAUCAUCCAGUGGUUAGAUGUGAACUUUCGAAGCCUCCGACCCCAUUCUGAGUCCGGUCGUUGCUUUCUAGGCCAUUGUGCCUUUCUUGGGCAUUUAGCGACAGAACCAAGAAACCGGGUAUGGGCAUCACCGUUCGGCUGUUGUGGGUAAGAAACUUCGAGAUCACUCAGAAUCAGACCGCUCAGUGGUUAGAUGUGAACUUUCGAGGCCUCCGACCCCGUUCUGAGUCCGGUCAUUCCUUUCGAGGCCAUUGUGCCUUUCUUGGGAGUUUUGCGACGGAACAAAGAAACCGGGUAUGGGGCAUCAUCGUUCGGCUUUUGUGGGCAAGAAAUUUCAAGAUCACUCAGAAUCAAACCGCCCAAUGGUUAGAUGAUAAGUUUUGGGGCCUCUGACCCCGUUCUGAGUUUGGUCGUUCUCUUGUAGGAAAUUGUGCCUUUCUUCGGCGUUUUGGGACGCACUACUAGAAAAAUAAGCUUUCUUGACGGUUGCUGUUUUCCUUUCUUGACGUUUUUUUCGAAAAACGUCAAGAAAGAUUUCAUUUUUAAUAAAAAACGUCAAGAAAUUUAUAAAAAAAUCCUUGACAUUUUUAAAAACGUCAAGAAAUUUAUAAAAUAUUCUUGACGGUUUUAAAACGUCAAGACUAUUAUAAAAGUUCCUUGACGUUUUUUAAAACGUCAAGAAAUUUAUAAAAAUUCUUGACGUUUUUAAAACGUCAAGAACCGUUAUAUAUAUAUUUGUUUUUUAUUUUAUAUAAAUAUAUAUAUAUUUAUUAUUUAUAUUUAAUUUAAAAAAAGAAAAACAAAGGAAAAAGAAAUCUCUCUCUUCUUCUCUCCCUCGCGCCGCGACCCCCCCCCCCCGCUUCCUUCAAUUUUCCCUUCUCCUUUCCUUCUCUUUUCUCUUUUCCUUCCGCCGUUCCCUUCCGUCUUUCUUUCCGCUGCAGCCCAGCCGCCCCAUCCUUCCCCUUCUCUCCGUUUGCGAAGCAAAACCGCCACCGACCGACCUCCAUUCCUCUUCUCCUUCCCGUUCGCAGCCCCGCUGCAAACCGUCGCCUCCCUUCCCUUCCAUUUUCUUUUUCCAUCCGCAGCCCUGCCGCAAACCGCCGCGUCUCCCCUUUUGAAGCCGAGCGCCGCGACCCUUCUCCUCUUCUCUUCAGUUCGCAAAGUAGCCGUACGCGUCCAGAUCUGCCGCCGUCCAGAUCUGCACCACAAGAAAACGAGUCUGGGCAUCACGUUCGGCUUUUGUGGGCAAGAAACUUCGAGAUCACUCAUAAUCGGAUCGCCCAGUGGUUAGAUGUGAGCUUUCGAGGCCUCCAACCCCAUUCUGAGUCCGAUCGUUCCUUUCUAGGCCAUUGAGCCUUUUUUCGGCGUUUUGGGACGAAACGAAGAAACCGAGUCUAGGGCAUCACCGUUUGGCUUUUGUGGUCAAGCAACUUGAAGAUUACACAGAAUCAGACCGCUCAAUGGUUAGAUGUGAACUUUCAAGGCCUCCGACCCCAUUCUAAGUUCGGUCGUUCCUUUCUAGGUCAUUGUGCCUUACUUCGGCGUUUUGGGUCUGAACCAAGAAACCGAGUCCGGGCAUCACCAUUCGGCUUUUGUGGGCAAGAAACUUUGAGAUCACUCAUAAUCGGACCGCCAAGUAGUUAGAUGUGAACUUUCGAGGCCUCCGACCUCGUUCUGAGUCCAAUCGUUCCUUUCUAGGCCAUUGUGCCUUUCUUCGGCAUUUUGGGACGGAACCAAGAAAUCGAGUCUCGGCAUCACCGUUCGGCUUUUGUGGGCAAAAAACUUUGAGAUCAUUCAGAAUCGGACCUUCAAGUGGUUAGAUGUGAACUUUCGAGGCCUCCGACCCAAUUCUGAGUCUGAUCGUUCCUUUCUAGGCUAUUGUGCCUUUCUUCGGCGUUUUGGGACCGAACCAAGAAACCGAGUCUGUGGCAUCACCGUUCGGCUUUUGUGGGCAAAUAACAUCGAGAUCACUCAGACUCGGACCGCCCAGUGGUUAGAUGUGAAGUUUCGAGGCCUCCGACCCCAUUGUAGUCCGGUCGUUCCUUUCUAGCCGAUUGUGCAUUUCUUCGGUGUUUUGGGACGAAACCAAGAAACCGAGUCUGGGGCAUCACCGUUCGGCUUUUGUCGGAAAACUUCGAGAUCACUCAGAAUCGGACCGCCCAGUGGUUAGAUGUGAACUUUCGCAUCCUUCGACCCCGUUCUGAGUCCGGUCGUUCCUUUCUAGGCCAUUGUCCUUUCUUCGACGUUUUGGGAUGGAACGAAGAAACCGAGUCUAGGGCAUCACCGUUCGGCUUUUAUGGGCAAGAAACUUCGAGAUCACUCAGAAUCGGACUGCCCAGUGGUUAGAUAUGCACUUUCGGGUCUCCGACCCGUUCUUACUCCGGUCGUUCCUUUCUAGGUCGUUGUGCCUUUCUUCGGCGUUUUGGGACAGAAUCAAGAAACCGAGUCUGAGUUCGGUCGUUCCUUUCUAGGCGAUUGUACCUUUCUUCGGCGUUUUGGGACGGAACCAAGAAACCGAGUCUGAGUCCGGUCGUUCCUUUCUAGGCGAUUGUGCCUUUCUUCGGCGUUUUGGGACAGAACCAAGAAACCGAGUCUAGGGCAUCACCGAUCGGCUUUUGUGGGCAAGAAACUUUGAGAUCACUCAGAAUCGGACCACCCAGUAGCUAGACGUGAACUUUCGGGGCCUCCGUGUUGGAAUUUUUUCUCCUAAAACUCGUAGUUUGUAAAUCAUAUUCUGUUCAAUAAAGCUGUUAUUGAGAAAUUAAAUAUUAUAAUCUUAAAUCCAAUAAAUCAAGUUCCAAGGCUAUUUUUGAAUAAACUUGAACUUUAUGUGUAAACAUAAACGUGGAUCAAGUUCGAGUAUAUAGCCUAAAUAGUCUAUAGUAUAUGAAAUAAAGGUUGGGCGCCUUAUUUAGAGAAACUAUGGAUGCGGCCCACUUUGUAGUACAAAUGAGGUGAUCCUAAUAGUUCAUGUAGAGACAUCCUAUGUAAAAUGUUUACAUAAGACUGAACCAUGAAUUAGUCUUUUUUACGUUAUAACACCGUUUACUGUUUAAAACUAACUAUCUCAAUUGUUGAUGACCUAGGUAACUUAGUCUUAAUCCUGAGUUAACUAUGAACUCUUGUUCGCACGAGAUUAUCCUUAGAUCUGCAUAGGUGAGGGCAGCUCUUCAUCGUUGGCCCAAUAAGCCUCCCAUUUCAGGGGUAAGAUCGGGUGGAUAGCUGGGAACAUAUGGUACAAGAUGGAAUUCACUCCUACCCGCUUUAGGGUUAGUAGAUAGGUUGUUCUCUUAAGCACUGAAUCCAAGUCUUGAACAAGGGGCCCCACCCUCUCAUUGGCCCGAGAUGGAUUAAGUUUAUAGGUUGAAGCUUAAACCAAUUGUUCAAUAGUGGAUUAGUGGGACUUAAGGAGCAAGAUGUAAUCUUGGGGAUAAAACGGUAUUUUGACCCAGCCAAGGUUAUGAGCAACCUGUGAAGGAUUAACUUACUGAUUAUGGUUUUAUCAAAUGGACACAAAUAUAUCUAUAGUUAGGGGAGUGCAACUACGGGACUUUAGUGGAAUGACCCGUUAGUUAACGAAUGUUGAUUAACUCGGUUUAAAAGAGUUUAGCUAGUUAAUCUUGAAUCGUUGGAGCCCAUGAUCUAUAGGUCCAUUAGGUUCCUCUGCUAGCUCAUAUGGAUUAAACUUAGAACAUGGUGAUAAAAUAAGUCGAAUUGUUCGAAUUGGGAGAAGAAAGGGAAACCGACAAAUAUAGUGAUAUAGUCGUCGGUCUUCUAAUUAGAAAUAGAGCUUUAUGUUUUACAUACUAUAAGUAUGAAUGCGGAUUCAUACUAAGAAGCUCGGAAUUGAUGGAAUUGGUAAAAAAAUAGUAAAAAGUCAAAAUGUUGACUUUUGACUUUGAAAAGUCAAACUUUGACCGGCCUUAUAUUCAAAUGUGAUUUGAAUUUUGGACAAAUGAAUGCGGAUUCAUGCUCGGGAGGUUGGAAUUAGUCAAGACGGACAAAAUGGUAAAAAGUCAAAAUAUUGACUUUUGACUAAGAAAAGUCAAAGUUUGACUUUUGACUAGAAAUAUCUAAUGACCAUUUUACCCUUGGACUAAGUUAGUGGGAAAUCCAACAUUUUGUUCUAUUUAUUGUAAUUAGCCUUGUUAAUGGCUUAUUUUUAUUGUUGCAAAGUGUUUGUAAUUUUUUUUAAAAUAAAAAAAAGUCAUUAGAGUUGAAGUUAGGCUGUAAUUGGUUCAACCGGGUGAGAGAAUUGAAAAAAAUAAAGAAAAGAAGGUCACAGACCCGAAAACCCGGCCUUGACCCGCUUCACGACCCGCCUGCGCCCGCGCGCCCGCCUGCGCCUGACCUGUGUGCGCCUGGGCGUGUUUAGUUAAUUGGCCCGAUUCAAGCCAAUAAAUUUGGUUUUUGGGCCGGUUCGAAGUUUUUGGGAGUGGUUCUGUACUACACCAAAUUAAUUAUGUAAUAAUUUAGUACUUAGUUUAAUUUAGGAGCCAAAAAUCAGUCCAUUUUAGGGUGUUUUUUUUUUAUUUAUGCAUGUGAUGUAUGAUUAAAUUACUUUAAAUUUGUAUGUGCAUUUUGAAUGUCAUAUAGAUUUAAAAUCCAACCAUAGGUUAACAUGUUCAUGCAUUAAAAUGUAUGAUAUAAAGGUUAUAUUGUAUUGUAUGCAUGUUAAUUGAUUAAUAUGGAAAUUAAUUAAUAUGAUUAAUUAAUUAUUUAAUUAAUUAAGUUAUUCUUGAUUAAAUAUGAUUUAAUCAAAUUAAUUAAUUAUUGUUUGAUAUUAAUUAAUUAAAUAUGGUUUAAUUAAAUUAAAAAAUGAUUUAAUUAAAUUAAAAAUUAAAUAUGAUUUAAUUAAAGUUAAUAAAAUUAAAAUCCAUAUUAAUUGAUUGUUUUUAUAAAGGUUAUAUAUUGAUAAAAUGAUUGAUUAAGUCUAAAAUUAAUUAAUUAUUGUUUUUACAAAAGGCUCCACCUGGUUCAAUCUUGUCAACAAGUCAGAUAAGAUGACUAAGGCUGGAGGUUCUUAAGUUGACGGUUUACGGAACACCUCCUACUGGAGAUCGUAAUCAGUUCUUGAGCCUAGUUAACCUAGUUUUAUGAGCAUUCGUGAGAGUGUGAGGUAUAUAAAAUGGUUUAUCACCUAGACAUCAUAGGUUAAAAUCCUGUAUAAUGGUUAUACUUGGACGUUUUAUCUAGACUUAAAGAUUUGUUUAAGUUAGCCUAAAUAUAAAUCUUGAAGCUUGGAUUACCCUAUUUUUUUUCUUCUUUUAGAACACUUCAACUAGAGAAAAAUAAAUGCUUUAGCUCUAGUGUCCCUAAGAGUUCACACUGUGAGGUCCAUGCAGGGCUUUGUGCUGUGCAUAAGAGCGGACUCCUUCGGAGAGUGUUUGCAUGGAUCAAAAUCAAGGUGAAUAAGGGAAGUAGUUCAUAGUAAGUGGGUGAGGGAUUUGUGGCAGCACAUCCCACGGUCUCUUCCAUUAGGUCGCACCGUGAGAUUUCUAUAAUAUGCCUACUUGUCUGCCUGGAGCGACGUUCCUUCGGAGGAGGGUUGUAUUAUAGGAUUUGGAACACCGCGAACUCCAAAUCUGGAUAGGUUUUCUUAGAUUAGUUUUCAUAAAUGAUUCUAAUCUAUGAAAGUCUGAAAAUGGUGGGUAACACUUACAAGAAUUACUAAGUUGUUAGUAUAUUCUUGACUAAAGUAGCGAUAACUAAGUGCUAUAAAGAAUAAGCAGUUAUUCUAGAGAUAGCAUCUAGUCAAGAUUGUCUUGGUUCAAAGGAGGAAUAAUCAACUACCCUUCGGAGAAGGUUGUUCUAAACCUUUGAAAUAUUGUUGCAAAAUACAAAUAAUGAAAGGGUACAUUAUUAGUAAUUGCUAAAUUAGAUUGGAUAUUUUUUAUGAUUAUAGUUUUUUCCUAAAAAGAAUAUGUUUGUUUUUCAGCAUGAAUAGCUCAAUAGUUCAACUUUUAGCUUUCGAAAAACUUAAUGGCGAUAAUUAUGCGGCUUGGAAAUCAAAUCUUAACACAAUACUAGUGGUUGACGAUUUAAGAUUUGUCUUAACUGAGGAAUGUCCUCAAAACCCUGCCUCUAAUGCUAACCGAACUAGUCGGGAUGCAUAUGAUCGAUGGAUAAAAGCUAAUGAAAAAGCCCGUGUCUACAUUCUUGCCAGCAGUCUGAUGUAUUGGCAAAGAAACAUGAAUCCUUAGCCACGGCUAAAGAGAUUAUGGAUUCAUUAAGGGGAAUGUUUGGGCAACAGAAUGGUCCUUAAGACACGAGGCAGUCAAAUACAUUUACACUAAGCGUAUGAAGGAAGGGACCUCUGUUAGAGAACAUGUUCUGGACAUGAUGAUGCACUUCAACAUCGCUGAAGUGAAUGGUGGUCCCAUCGAAGAGGUUAAUCAAGUUAAUUUUAUCUUAGAGUCUCUUCCGAAGAGCUUCAUUCCAUUCCAAACGAAUGCGUCUUUGAACAAGAUAGAAUUUAACUUGACAACCCUUCUGAAUGAACUCCAGCGAUUCCAAAACCUUACUAUGGGUAAAGGAAAACAAGUGGAAGCAAAUGUUGCUACCACAAAAAGAAAAUUUAUAAGAGGAUCGUCCUCUAAAACCAAAGAUGGACCCUCAAAACCUAAUGCUCAAAUAAAAAAGAAGGAAAGGGAAAGACUCCCAAACAGAACACGGGUAAGAAAGGUGCAGAAAAAGGUAAGUGUUACCAUUGUGGCCAAAACGGGCACUCGUUAAACAUGCCCAAAAUACCUUGCAGAAAAAAGGCAGAAGGAAACACAAGGUAAAUAUGAUUUACUAGUUGUAGAAACAUGUUUAGUGGAAUAUGAAAAUUGUACCUGGAUACUAGAUUCAGGAGCCACUAACCAUAUUUGCUUCUCAUUUCAGGAAAAUAGUUCUUGGAAAAAGCUUUCAGAAGGCGAGAUCACUCUCAAGUUGGAACAGGAGAGAUGGUCUCAGCUAGAGCAGUGGGAGAUUUAAAGUUGUUUUUUAGAGAUAGAUAUGUCAUACUUAAGAAUGUCUUAUAUGUACCUCAAAUGAAAAGAAAUUUAAUAUCUAUCUCUUGUAUUUUGGAACAAAUGUAUAGAAUAUCUUUUGAAAUGAAUGAAGCGUUCGUUUUCUAUAAAGGUAUUCUAGUUUGUUCUGCCAUACUUGAAGACAACUUAUAUAAGUUAAGACCAACCAGAGCAAAUUUUGUCUUAAAUACUGAAAUAUUCAGAACAGCUGAAACUCAGAAUAAAAGACAAAAAGUUUCUUCUAAUGCCUAUUUAUGGCACUUAAGACUUGGUCACAUAAAUCUCAAUAGGAUUGGGAGAUUGGUUAAAAGUGGGCUUCUAAUCAGUUAGAAGAUAACUCUUUACCUCCUUGUGAAUCUUGUCUUGAAGGAAAAAUGACCAAGAGAUCUUUUACUGGAAAAGGUCUUAGAGCCAAAGGACCCUUAGAGCUCGUACAUUCGGACCUUUGUGGACCACUGAAUGUCAAAGCUCGAGGUGGAUAUGAAUAUUUCAUUAGCUUCAUUGAUGAUUAUUCAAGGUAUGGUCAUAUUUACCUAAUACAUCAUAAGUCUAAUAGUCUUGAAAUAUUCAUUAGCCACAUGGGCCUUGCCCGACUAUUUUGUUAUGGACAUGUUUACAUUUUAACCGUUAAUAAGCCAACUUAGGCUAUCACACCCCACCAUGAGCACCUACUUGCGUGGCUCGAGAUAUGGCGUGAAGCCAAUCGAUAGCACCCACGUCAAGAACGACACCAUUUGACCCUUAGCUUGAACGUUUAAACUCUAAACAAUAGCGGAAACAUAACACAUAAAUUUUACUAAAACCAAUUGGGCUAAACCUUUUUCAUUUAACAACCUUAGACAAGUUUUACAUAGAAAAAACGUAAUCUUAUUUAUCUAGAAACAAACCUUAUAAAACCUUCCCAAAAGCCUAAGUCUGAUAGCACAAAAGACUAAUUUAUCAUUAGUACAAAAUAAUAGGACACAUACGAUAACAAAAUGAAAUCCUCAGUAGACAGGUAGCAGCAAGUUAGGCUUAGAGGACACGAUCUCUACCUAGAAAGUGGGAAAACAUUUUGAAUAUUAUGCAUUUUGAAGAGUAAACAAUAUGCUAGAAUAAAUACCUUUAAACAAUAACACGCUUGAAAGACUUUUCAUAACAUAACUUAAAUAUUUUAUCAUAAAUCCGUCAUAAUCAUGACUUAAGAACAUGCUUGAAAUCACUUUAAAUAAAACAUUUUCCACUCACAGAUACAAGCUCAAAUCCUUGGUUUAUAAAUUUGUAUGAUCUUCUCAUGUCUUGAAAUAAUGGUAAAAUAGUACAAUUAAUUAUCUUUUGCAAGAAAAUAUCAAAAGUAUACUUAAAAAACUCAAAAAAUUACCAAUAGCUCAACACGCAAUAUGACACUGCUUGACACGAAUGGGGUGGUGGCAGGGCUUGGUUGGGCGCUGCUACUGUGUGUGAUCUCACAAGAGGCUUUCAUGCGUGUUGGGCAUGCCCGCGUGCUAACCUCACGCACAAGCACAUUGUGAACCUCACUGGUUGCGUGCUUGGCAUUUCGUAUAGCCCUCCUCAUGUGCAUUCUUGGCUAGUGCAUUUCUUGUGUCACAAUCGCGAGCUUUCAAACACGAGAGGCGCGAUUAUGUUGCACUUGUUUUACGUAGACAACAAGUUAGCUGAUCAAAAUCCAAAAACCACAGACAAACACAUGAUACGAUGUAGCCUCUCUUCAGGUUCUUGAGAAAAUGUUUUAUAAAACGUGAGAAGAAAGAAAUUCAAUGAAAAUAUCGUUAAAGCAAGCAUUGAAGACUGUCAAUUGCAAAGAAAAACUUUGAUUGCGAAGAGUGCAACAAGGCUUGGGCAGGGAUUCAACUACUAUGUCCCAUCUAUAGUACAUUUUAGACUUUUUUAGUUCUGGUAGGCUUGCAUAAGAAAAAGCCAAGUCACACCCAAGGUUUAUGACAUAAAAAGGAAAGCAAAAAGUAAAACUAAAUACAAAACAUGAAAACAAUGUAAAUUGGGGGUGUUUGGGCAUGCUGCCAUAAGUAAACAGCGCCCUGGACAAGCAUGCUUGUUACAUUCUUCCCCACUUAAACAAUUGACGUCCCUGUCGAUUGGCGAAGCUAGAAUUCCUCGAUCUUCUUCUUUCACGCUCCAAGGUCUUCAGCACAUUCCUAACAUGUUUCUUCCACAUGGAGGUUCUUUCACUUCAGUAGGAAUUCAUGUAUCUUCUUCAUGGGUAUACCCUUCCUCACUCUCUUAGGAAGGAUUUCUUCCAUUUCUUUAUUGUCUUUCUGCUUUAGGUCACUAGAUGACCAUACACCAUUGUUGCACUACUGGUCAUCUGGAUCUUGAUGGUAAGGUUUCAAGUUGCUCACAUGAGCUACUAGAUGAUUUUUUAUCCAUGCAGGCAACGAUACCCUAUAGGAUGAAUUUCCAAUUUUCUUCAGAACUUCAACAGGCCCUUCGUAUUUUCUAGUGAGAUGCUGAUGUUGAUGUCCAAUAAAUGAAAUUUGCUUUGCUUUAAACUCUAUGAAGAGUUGGUCUUCCGCUCAAAACUUGAGCCACAUCCAUCAACUAGGCCCAAUUCUUUUGUCCAAAAUCAACAAAAUGUAGUAGAUAUUCCUUAAGCAUACAAUUGAAUCCUUCAGUUUGGCCAUUCGUCUGAGGAUGACAGCUUAAGGAUAUAUUUAGGCAUGUCCCCAAGAAGGCGAAUAGUUCGGUCCAGAGAGUACCAAUGAAUCUACCAUCCUUGUCACUCACAAUGAACAUAGUUUUGUAGUGGGGAUAAAGGUGGCGUACUUCGAGAACCAAUUGAUUAUAACCAAGAUGCCUCAAAGUGGUUCACCUUUGGGAUGUGUAAUAAAAUCCAUGGAUUUCGCACAUUCUACUAAAGCCUGAAGCCCCGUAUGCUGCAAGAAUCAGUGUUGCCAAUCGAGGUUGCAACGUUUCAAAUGCAACUGAUCAGCAUACCAUUCAAAAUUUGAAUUUUCAACAUGACGAGUUUGUAACUUUAGUGCCCUUGGAGAAGAAAAUGAAAUUCAGGGUAUGUGUAAUUCAGGUUUUGUUCCACAAGAUAGUACAAUUUAAAUUAUUCUCCAUAUGUUGCUUAAUUAUCUCAUAACGGUUUAUUUAAACCAGGAUGCAGUGCAUGACAGCAACGGUCCAGUUUCUUUAGCAGAAAUAGAGAACAACACGACAACUAGUAUUGCAAAAUUAUCCAAUACUCUUGGUAAUUUGGAUGAGACACAUUGUUCUUGCUCUAAACAUAGCGCAAAGAGAGUUUGGGAAGUAUCACUUUCUUCCCUGACGUCAAAGAAAGUAAAAGGAGUCAAUCUGGACCAUUUCCAUUCCCACUCUAACAAAAAUCUUGAUCCUAAAAGUGAUGUAUACGAUACCUGCUCUCAAUGAUGCUCUUUAGCCAAUUCAAAGCAUGAAAUUUUAUCAAGUAUUUAUCCUAAAAAUCCAACCAAUCAGUGUACACAAAAUUUUUGUCAAGAAUUUGGAAGUGUAAAUGUGGCAUCAGAGGACCUCAAUUCUGAAGAGCUAGAGAAGCUUCUGAUUCCUUCCCUCCAUUAUUGAUAAAUAAAAUUGAGGUUAAGGCUUAUCAUAUACAUACCCAGUCACUGAACUUCUCCAUAUUCCUUAAGAGGCAUAUCUUGCUUGGCUUAUUUGGCUGGCUCUACUCAUGUAAGCUUUCAAAAGGCGAAUCUGACAUCCUGCCAAAAAUGAUUAAUCAGUUUCUUUAACUGUUGAACUUUUAGGUUGUAUACUAGCAAGCACCUGAAGUUUAGGGAUUCAUUUUAUAUUAUUCUUAAGAGUUAUUCAAUAUCCCUACCUAGAAUAGACAAAUGAAGCUUGAAACUACCCAUAAUAUUAAUGUUGUUGUUUAAUUAUGACAUUUUGUUAUCGGUCUUUCUAACUUACGAAUAUCCAUCUUCUGAUAUGUGUUCACAUGCAUAUUUUAUGGAUGUAGAUUUUAUAGUAUUUCUUUAUUUAUUUUAUAUGGCAUUAGCUGUUAUACUUUUUUAUAAAAUAUUAAUAUAAAUAUUAAACUACCGAUUCACCAAAAAGUUUAAGCUGGUGGUUGAAAGAAAAUUCAAUUAUAGCCUUAAGCACAUUGGUGGACUAGAAAGUAUAAUCUUAGAAACACUCAAUCUGAUCAAGUUCUCUGAAGCAAGAAUUAAAGUUCGGAAAAAUCUUUGCGGAUUCUGCAACUAUAGAAUUAAAGAGUGAGAACUGAGGAAAUUUUCCCUUAAUUUUGGGGAUUUUGAACCCAUAGAAGCUCCUGUAAUAAUCCAAUCUGAUCUAUUUCAAAGUGAUUUUUCCAAUCCUAUUGAUUUAUGUAGAAUAAAUUCAGUGAUUUUAGAUGAGGGGCUCCAAAGUGAUGGUCUCCUAGAUACCUGAAUUUUUCUCAAAACAGAAUGCCCCAUCCAUCACAAGAAAUCUUUCGAAGCACUUAGGAAGUUGGGUGAUGAAGAAGAAAACCUUGUUCGACCGGAAAGAGUUUCAGCCCUUGAAUCCUCGCCGGAAAAAAUAAUUUUCAGAAGGCAAAAUUCAAAUUUGGGUAUAGUUGGCAUCUCCACGUACUUAGAAGGGGAAAAGACUUCAACAAAAAGAGAGAAAAACAGACUCGAAAGAAGAAAAGGCAGCCAGCCGACAUUUUAUUAUCUCAAAAAACAGCUCACCUAGCCCUCCCCAACCAGAUUGUUUCAAACUUAAUGUAUCUGCAGACAUUUUAAAAGCUGACACACAGAUGGUAGGCCCCAAGAAUUUUAUUAAUCAGAAUUCCAAUGGCUUUUGGUAUUCUGACGAAUUGGAGGAAGAAUCAGAGUCCUCUCCUCAUCAAGGAACUUCACUUGCGGGCCAUCUCCUGUUUUCAGUUCUCAACCAAAAUUACCAGCCUCUCCCAAGACUAAAAUAUCAUCUGCAAUGAAAGCUAUUCCAUUUCAUGCCAGAAAUUUUUCUAAGCACCUCAAGACCUAUACCAAAGGGAGAACUUCUUUUCGCAACAUUUGGAUGAGCUUGGCUAAUUCUGAUUUAUUAGAGGAAAGUUUGUGAAGAUACAAAUUCCAAAUUCAGUUGGCAAAAGGUCAGUACUGCCUUCCUCCUUAAGUAAUAAAUUUUCUCAAUCCUCCUCCAAACUUUCUGGUUCAUUCUUUAAUUUUGUGCAAGAUACUUCUUGUCUAAAAAAAGUUGAGAACCUAGAAGAUGAAUUCAUGGAAGUUGAAUCAGUCACCAGUGUGUAUCUUCCCCUCAAGAGUUGGUUCCUUUCUUGGCAGCAUGUGAAAUUAAAUUGAUAUAAGGUAGAGGUAGCAAAGAUGGAGAUUAUAUCAUGGAACACUAGAGGAUUCAUGGGCUAUUCGAAACAAUUGGCUAUUAAAAAUAUUUUGAAGAAAGCUAAUCCAGAUAGAUCUUUGAUUCCGGAGACCAAAAGAGAAGAGAUUGCCAGUUGUAUUAUAAAGGCACUAUGGAGUUCAAAAGGAAUUGGCUGGGUCUUUGUUUGAAGCUAGUGGCAAAUUAAGAGUUUUGCUGAUUAUGUGGAUAAAUAUAAGUUGUCGAUUAUUGAAGUUCGGUCAAGAGAAGGAAGGUCAUUACAGUGUGUGCUCAUAAGUUGUUUCAACAUUAAUUUAUAAGUUGUUUGGAAAGGUUCUCGCAGAAAGAUUAAAGAAAGUCAGGCCAGGUAUUACUUUGUAAGACCUCCUAUUAUCUAUACCUAUAAAAGGAAGGGUAGAAAGAGAAAUUCCUUAGCAACCAAUGAUGAGAGAAUAAUGGGAGAGGAUCGUGCAGGUGGGGCUGCCAGGAGGGAUGAGAGAGAGGUAUAAAUAUGUAAUCUAACAUACUUCUCCAUUACAAUGUGGCUUUCUGGAAGAGUGCCAAAUCUUGGAUCCUAUUUUAAUAGCAAAAGAAACUAUGGAGGUCUAUAGUAUCCGAAAAAAGAAAAGAUGGAUCAUUAAAUUAUACCUUGAAAAGGCCUUUAACAGAGUGGAUUGGAAAUUUUAGAAAAUGUAAUGCAAAAGAAGAUCUUCGAUGUAGGAUAUUGUGUUAUAUUGGCCAGCCUUUACAGCAUCCCCAUUUUGAAGUUUUGAUGAUCAGGACUUUCGGAUCAGCCCUCUGCUUCAAACAGUUUUUGCUCAACCAAUCAAGGCUUAUUCUUCUUUGUUCUCAGCAUGCUGCCUUUGAUUAUGAUUUUUCUUUGGAAAGAUUCUUUUUAUCAUUUUGUUUGUCUUUGUUUUUGUGGCUUUUUGUUUUGAUCUUGUGUUGUCGCUUUUUGGAUGUUUUGAGGGCACUAAGGGGGUGUCAACCUAGUUUGAGAUGCCCGGAUGCGCCUGUUGAUCUUCCCUCUCCUCUUUUGCUCUGUGUAUAAUCCUCAUGUACAUUGAGCUUUGUGUCUUUCUUUAUAUUAAUAAUAGUGAGACUCGUAUCCUUUUUUAAAAAAGAAAAAAAUUCAAUUAUAUAUCACCAACACUCUCCUCACUUGUGGGCUUGAAAUAUUUGAAAGGCCCAACAACUGGAAAUGGAUUUUAAUUGGGGAGGAAACGACAAUGCGAGGCUUGAACACAAGACCUUCUUGGACCACCUGCUCGGAUACCAUAUUGAAAGGGAGACAAACAAACACAAAACUUUACGUGGAAACCUGUGUACCAGGAGAAAAACCACUAUAUUUUUCUUCUUAUUAUUUUCUGAUGAAAAAUACAAUAGGUACAAGGGAGAAUAAAUAGAAUAUACAGAGGAAUAAAAAAGGAAAAUAUUUAGGAAUUAAGAAAAAUAUUCCCAUAAACUUUUCAUAAAUAUUCUAAGAUUCUAACAAUAAAAAGUUCUAUUUAUUCCAAAUUGUGACUGCUCUAAUAUGCAGUUGUUUUCUGAUUCAGAUGAUUGAGGAGCUUGGUGGUUCUCUCACUGCUGAUGGGAGUACAAGCACUCAUGUCAUUACAGGAAAAGUGCGGAAAACUCUAAAUUUUUGUAUUGCUCUCUUUUUAGGGUUAGUCUUGCAACCUUAGACGAACACUCUUCUAUGUGUCCUUUUGGCCUUUGAAUACCGAUAAUCAUCUCAUUUGCACCAAAGUUAGCAAUUCCAUGCACACAAGGCCUUUGCCGUUAUUUUUCCAUUGCCUCGUAGUUGUGCUUAGGCUGGAAAUUGUUGUGAACCUUCUAAAUCUAAAAGGGCAUAGUUUCUUAUUCUACUGCCUGUUUACUUUUAGUUAAACAUCAAAAUCAAUUCUUAUGUUUGAGUUGGAUUGUAUCAUGCUCUUCCUUUUCAGUUGUUUCUAUCGUGAUGGUGGGUAGUGGUUGUUAAGACAACCAUUAGGCUAAUUUGGGUUGCAGGCUUACUUUUCCCAUUUUACGUGUAAAAUGGCUCAAGCUCACUAAUGAAAGAUAUUUGUUGGCUAGCUAGUGUUUUUAUCCUCGAUUUCCUUCUUCCCCUAAUACAUUAUGUUAUGGAAUUUGUUAGAUACCUAGAUUAGUAUAGGGUUGGGGUAUAAGGUAAUUAGAUAUUUAGAAAGUUACUAGUAGUUAUUGUGUAAGUGUGGUUACUAGUAGUUAUUAUGUAAGUGUGGUAACUAGGGUGGUUACAUGUUAUUAUAAAUGGAGGGAGGGUAAGUGGGGAGAAUUCUGGGGAGUGAUAUAAGGCUUGGGUGAGAGUACUCAAGAGGGAGGGUUCCAAGUGCUUUAUACUUGGUUUUAUCUUGUAUUUUCUUAUAGUUACAUUAUAAUAAAUUCAGAUCUUGUUCUUGUUAGGAAGUAUAUGUCUCCAAUAUUAUUUAAAUACAGUAGAAGAAUUAAAAGGGUAAUAUUGACCCACACGAGAAUAUAGGAGAGAUUAUAGGAGGAGAGAAUAUCGGAGGAGAUCCCAUUAGUUUGUUAGUAAAGCAAAAUAAAAGGGAGGAAAGAGGAGGGAGAAAGGGGACAAAAUAUUCCAAAGAAGUAGAGGCUGCCGUCUUUCGUGCUCGGGAGAAGUAGAGGGUCCAAGUCAAGUUCUUUUUAUUCGACAAUCUCCGGAAGAAUGGAAGGAUCGUCGAGCAAAGGACCAACGAUUGAGAGUAUCAUCGAAGGUGGAGGUAAGACAUUGAAGGAAAUCAAGGUAGAAGGUAAAACAAACAAGUUUGAAAGGGAUGAAAACUCAAACGAUCAUAGCAAAUUCAAGAAGGUUGAAAUGCCUGUGUUCAGUGGCACUGAUCUGGAUUGUGUUUAUUUAGAAUGGAUUGGAAUCUUCAGGUCCAUAAAUCGAUGGACUCCAAGAAGUUGCUGAAUCCAUAGAAGAAUCGAGGAAAACGCGAUUGCAACGGUUAUACAACGAAGGUGAAGAGGAUGGCAAAGAGUGACCAAGAAGAAACUAUAGAGGAAGGUCGAUGAUGAUUACCUGUGAGGCUCGAAAUGAAGACUCGAGUGAAGAAAAAUUUGUUGCUCACAGAAACACAAAAUGGCUGGUUGCAAUGGAGAAAGAAGAAGCCGACAGUUACCGGUCUACAGAGGCUCGAGAAGGUGGUCUGGAAUAGGGGUGAAUCACGUGACGAGGAAGAAGUUGCUGCACACAUGAUGGUGCCAAUGACGUGGUAGAAAUUGGUAGGAAAGAGGAUUAGGACAAAAGGAACAAUCUUGGGUUUUACUAUUUCAAGUGGGCUUCAACUUACUCUAAAUGAGCUUCAACUUAUUCUAAAUAAAACAUUGGGGGCACAUCAUUUUGUAGAUGAAGUGGGUGGAGAGUUCCAAAAAUAGGAGGGAAGAAAAACGUGUAUGUAGGUGGGUCCUAGGAAUGAAACCGGCGGCAGUAUGAUUUUGAUCUUGACGCAACAAUUUGAUUAUGGCCUAGCCCACUAGAGAUGAAGGGUUUGAAAAUUAAACACUUGUUGGUGAUAUGCAAAGGGUUAACUAAGACAAUGUGUUAUGGAAAAGGAAAAUUCAAGUACAUUGGGCUGCUUUGUGGGCUGAAGUCAAUGGACCUUAUUGGAAUCGAGAGUUUUUCAAAGCCGAAGGGGAGGAUUUCUUUUUCAACAUUGAAGAGCAGAAUGCUGGGGAUUGUUUGCAAUUAAAAAGAGAAAAAAAGAGAAAGGGGCCUUGAUCAUGUUUGUAAGCACACCUUGAGGACAAGGUGUUUUGAAGGAUCGGGUAAUGUUAGAUACCUAGAUUAGUAUAAGGUUAGGGGUAUAAGGGUAAUUAGAUAUUUAGAAAGUUACUAGUAGUUAUUAUGUAAGUGUGGUUACAUCUUAUUAUAAAUGGAGGGAGGGUAAGUGAGGGGAGAAUUCUGGGGAGUGAUCUAGGGCUUGGGUGAGAGUACUCAAGAGGGAGGUUCCAAGUGCCUUAUACUUGGUUUUAUCUUGUAUUUUCUUAUAGUUCAUUAUAAUAAAUUAAGAACUUGUUCUUGUUAGGAAGUAUCCUAACAGAAUAACUCUAGAAGGUCUCAUGUUAGCGAAUGAUAAUCUGCGUUAAGUGUGUAUUUGUAGGAGUUCUUCUCCCGGGCAUCUAUGGUUGAUAUUCUUUACCUUUCAAUAUAUCAAAGCCAAGGAUUCUUUUGCAUUUCUCUAUGCUUUUUCUUUACCCAUUUAUGCUUUUUUUAGUUAUAUUUGAGAGUAGUAUUUCAUUUCUUUCAUGUGAAAUGUUGAACUUCAGUAGUGUGGAGAGUGGAACGUAAUAUCUUACCUUUUAUAUUAGUAAACUUGAUUUUAAGCAAUGUGUUUUUGAAGAUUUUAUGUUGUAGAAUGUUUUUUGUUCUUCAAGCUACUGUUCUUAACUUUAUUUUCUCCUGUUAAUGUUCUCAAUGAUUAUCGAGCAUAUGCAUUACCAUGUGGCUUCAAGCGUGUCAGUGUGCUCUUGCUCAUAAUUUUUACUAUAUCUUGUUACUAAAAUUGCAAGUUAAUUGCAAAUUACUCAGAGCUUGGAUUGUCUCCUCCAGUUGGUUAAAGGAAAGCUACCGGGAAGGCAGAUUUGUUGGUAAGUUCGAAUGGCUUGCUAGUAUCAAAGCGUAAUGUAUUUUCUUCCACUUAUGUUUUUCAUCCUACCUAAUUUUUGUGAUUGAUUAAUUCCUUAUGGAUCUGCAGACGAGUUGCCUUACAUACUAAAUGAUGAUGACUACAUAUCGAAGUAUCGAGCCAGCCUAAAAGCUGUAGUUCUCAGGGCAAAAGCAUGUUCUUGAGCUUUAUUUGAAGGGUAUGAUGUUUGCAUAUCAGCUCACGCUCAACCACCACCUAAAACUCUAUCCCUGAUAGUCAAGUCAGCCGGUGGAAAUGUAAGUUCUCUGUUAUUGUACAAAUCUCGAGUACUAGGUUUGGUUCUCUAUAUUACAUAUACAACCACUAUAAUAUGGCUAUCCUCCCAUCUAAUGAAGACGUGAAGUUCUCAAAAAACAAGCACGUAUACGAAUUCUAGACAUGGGUCAAUAAAUCAUAGACAUGGUGACGUGUCAUUUUUUUCUUAAAAAUAUAGGAUAGUGCUAGAACACAGUUUUAAUAUAUAUAAUUUAAAAAGUAUGUAUCAUAUUUAUAUAGAAAUUCAAAGUCAAUAAGUUUAUGUAUUUAUAUGCUUAAAAAUAAGCUUGUCCUUCACUCAAAACUUAUUCAAAGCCAAGAGUUUAAUAUGUGUGUGUGACCAAUCUUGACCUUUAUUGCAUUGGAAUACUUGUUGUCUAACACAUCUACUACUAACUAGUGUUCAACACGUGUUCUCCGAGUGUUCCAUACAUAUUGUUUAUUGAUACACUACCCAAACUAGAGUGUAUGUGCUUCUUUAAGUCUUUAAUAUUUAUGUUUGUUUUGAUCCUAGGAAUUGAGCAUGUAAUGUAAAAAGUCUAUGCACAAGGGGUCAUAUGGCCAUCUCCGUGUUUCUUUAAUUAUCAAAUUUGUUCAAGUUUUUAAUUGUCUCUAGAUCGAAAUCUGGAGUUAUUUUUUGUGAUUUGGUGUACAAAUACAUACAUCCAUGUUUCUAAUUAUGAUUAGAUUGUUUUCUGGUCGCAACAUUUUAUUGUUUAGCUUGUCUUUGAUCUUGAACUUACUAUUAUGUUGAUUUAAAUUCCAUUUUAGCCUUAGAACUUUCAAAACAUCCAUUUUAGUCAUCGAGCUUCCAAAACGUAGCCAACUAACGGUUUUAGUAUUUUGUAAAUUAUUUUAUCAAUUAAUAUUCAUUUAUCCAAUACUCAUCGGUCAUUUCUGCUAUAUGUGAUUGGAAUAUAUCUCAUAGGAAGCAUUUUGAAAGUUGGGAAAAGAUGAAAAAUUUUAGGGACUAGAACAAGAAUUUGUUUAAUAUUUUUUGAUAGGGUGAAUACUUGCAAUUUCCUUGUAGUAUAUACAUAAUUUUUUCUCUCAUUUGGCAAAUUCAUUAUGCUUGAAAAUUUAGGUGAUUCAUGAGCUAGAUAAAGUAAACAACGUAUGGAAGACGAGCUUUGUGGCUUGUGAGGAAGACGUGGAGGAAGCCUUGGUGGCCGUAGAAAAAGGGAUAUGGACUUUCAACGUUGAAUGGCUAAUGGCAUGUAUAAUGAGACAAGAAGUAGACUUGGAGGCCCCUCAAUUUGCUGAGUCCCUAUGAGAAACAAGGUCACCCUAACUUUCAAUUUUGAACAAGCAGCAGCCAGCCAUUUCGUCCUUGUGUAAAUCCACUCUUUUCUCAACUCACUCUAAUUUGGUACAUAAACAAACUCUGAUCGCUCCAUCUCUAUAUUCAUCAGUACAUAAAAGACGAUAAGUUUAUUCAUGGAGAAAGUUGGAUGUAAGUAUGUUUUAGGAAUGGUCCUUCAUUUAGUAACUUUGGGAAUUGUAAAAUGAGGUAAUGAAGUUCUAUCAAGUUGAAUGUUCUUGUUUAUGUUGGAUGAGACUGAUUCUUGGAUACCAGAAUUAACUUGAAGUACGUGUUUGAGUUCCAUUGGAGUGAUUAGAGAAAAAAUGUUCCUUUAAAAAGGGUAUUUUUUUUAUGUAGACUUUCUUUUUAUUAAAAUUGCUUAAAAUACAAUUUGAGAGUAUUUCAAUAGCUUUCAAAGAGUUGUCAAACACUUGUAGUUUUUCUAAAAUAACAUAUUUUCAAAAUUAAUUACUGUAAUAGUUAAACAAAAGAUUCUUUCCCUUAGAACUUUUAAAGUUUGUCUAGUUACCUCUUAAACCUUUCAAUUGUUUAAUAGGUCUUUCAAUUUUAUGUUUUAAGUGUCUAUAAAUUUUGAUUUUUUUUUAUUUGUUAGAUAUAAAUCUGAAGAAAUGAAUAAAGUAGAUUGUAAGUAAAAUAGUUUAAAAGUUGAGAAAUUAAAUUUGUGGUUUAAAAAGUUGGAGUAAAUAGUUUGUGUUAAGUCGGGUUGUGAUAUUUUAUUUAUUUAUUUUAAUAAUAGAAGAGAGGGAGACGAAAACUGCAAACUGAAGGGAGAAGAAGCGGUGGCUGAAUUUGUAUAUUUCUCCUUUCUUUUCAAUUUGAGAAAAUUUCUUUGCAAUUCACUUUGAAAAGGAAAUGAAUUGUAACGACCCAACUUUUCUAGGUAAGUCGAGGUCAUUAAUUUUUGACAAAAGACUUUGGUUGAUACAAAAUGAAACGUAAGCCAAUUUAAAAACAACUUUAAGUCAGGCCUGAUUUUCUAAUAUAAAAAAAAAACUUAAAAAUAAUACUAUUUACAAAUAAAAGUUUGUAAACUAAAUUUCAAUACAACAUCUUAAACCUCAAAAGAAACCAUAAGCGGAAGCAAAAUGACACGUUUCCUAUGGCAAUCACGCUUCCUUCCUGCCCCUCGCCGAUUUGCCACCUUUAUUUCCUUUGCCUGAAAAUUAAACAUAAGAAGGGUGAGUAUAACAAUACUCAGUAAGAGACCCUCUACUGGUCCCGUCAGGGGAAAAUAAAUUGUUAACAUUCUAUUGGGACACCCUGUACAGUCGCAGUCUUGUGAUCCCGUAGGAUGCACAUUUCAGUCUAACGCCCGAGGGACGUACAUAUCAGUCUAGUGUUCUGCAGAAACACAUAUCAGUCUAAUGCCCGAAGGUGCAGAAUAAAUUGGUGAUCCCGUGGGACACCUACAAGGCACACAUCCCAAUAAAAGCUAACAAUUUUCCCCUCAUUCCAUUCAAUCCAUCUUUCAGUUACUUCAAAAUAUAAAGUUCUUUCUCUCAACGUCCUAACAGUCAACUUAUCUCACUUUAGUCAUAUGUCUGUCAAUAACAUACUAAUACGUCAGUCAAUCAAACUAUACAGUCAAUACACCCCUCAGUUCACCAGCACACAGUCAUACUUUAGCGUAACGUACACCCAGUCUAAACGACAAUCACAAGUUCACAUCUGCAUCUCAUACAAACACAAUCUACAAUUUUCGUCCUGUCCACAUCCACACACAUAUAUAUAUUCCAAGACAAUCACAAUAUGCAUUCAACACUAAGUCUACUUCAAUCCAUAUGUAUAUAUAUAUUUUCAGUCAAUCCACAGUAUACAUUCAACACCGAAUCUACAUCCAUACGUGUAUAUAUAUAUAUCAUCUCAACAUCUUUACUCAGUCAGAGACAAUCAUACAGACAUACAAUUCACAAUCAUAAGUGAGUCCAGUAGAAAAUCCCUUACCUCAAAGUUAGGGAAGCUCCUUAAUCAACUAACGUCCUCGAAACAAUCCUAAGCAAUACAAUACAAAAAUUCGAUUACUUUCAAGAUACAUAUCUCACUUACUUUCCUCAACGUAAGUUCCAACUCACCGAAGUAUUGGCGAACUGAACCCUCAACAAUUCAUAUAUUGGUUGUGAAUUUAAGGGAGCCCAACGUUACUCCCAACACCUCAACGCACGACUGUCGAACUCGCAGCAAAAAUCCUAAGUGUGGGUCGGUCAGCGGUCGGCCAAAGGAGACGUGGCGGCUGCCUCAAAAUCGAUCGACGAUCUGACACGGCGACCGGGCUUCACAAGAUGUAUGCAUCGACGGCUUCACGGAGGUGAAGACAGACGCGGUCGGAGAGUCGCGCGGCAGUGCAGAAAACAGAGGAGAACGAAAUGGGCGGCGGCUGGAAACAGAGGUUGCGCCGCAGGGCUUCACGAACGGCCGACGGUUGCAGCGACGGAUCUGGGUUACUGCAAACUGCAAGGGUGAAGCACGAGCGGCAGCGAGGACCUGGACGGCUCGGCGAUGC
rnacentral:lncRNA from 1 species